rnacentral:rRNA from 1 species
UACAGGCUUAACACAUGCAAGUCGAGGGGCAUCAGGAAGAAAGCUUGCUUUCUUUGCUGGCGACCGGCGCACGGGUGAGUAACACGUAUCCAACCUGCCCUUUACUCAGGGAUAGCCUUUCGAAAGAAAGAUUAAUACCCGAUAGCAUAAUGAUUCCGCAUGGUUUCAUUAUUAAAGGAUUCCGGUAAAGGAUGGGGAUGCGUUCCAUUAGGUUGUUGGUGAGGUAACGGCUCACCAAGCCUUCGAUGGAUAGGGGUUCUGAGAGGAAGGUCCCCCACAUUGGAACUGAGACACGGUCCAAACUCCUACGGGAGGCAGCAGUGAGGAAUAUUGGUCAAUGGGCGCUAGCCUGAACCAGCCAAGUAGCGUGAAGGAUGAAGGCUCUAUGGGUCGUAAACUUCUUUUAUAUAAGAAUAAAGUGCAGUAUGUAUACUGUUUUGUAUGUAUUAUAUGAAUAAGGAUCGGCUAACUCCGUGCCAGCAGCCGCGGUAAUACGGAGGAUCCGAGCGUUAUCCGGAUUUAUUGGGUUUAAAGGGAGCGUAGGUGGACUGGUAAGUCAGUUGUGAAAGUUUGCGGCUCAACCGUAAAAUUGCAGUUGAUACUGUCAGUCUUGAGUACAGUAGAGGUGGGCGGAAUUCGUGGUGUAGCGGUGAAAUGCUUAGAUAUCACGAAGAACUCCGAUUGCGAAGGCAGCUCACUGGACUGCAACUGACACUGAUGCUCGAAAGUGUGGGUAUCAAACAGGAUUAGAUACCCUGGUAGUCCACACAGUAAACGAUGAAUACUCGCUGUUUGCGAUAUACAGUAAGCGGCCAAGCGAAAGCAUUAAGUAUUCCACCUGGGGAGUACGCCGGCAACGGUGAAACUCAAAGGAAUUGACGGGGGCCCGCACAAGCGGAGGAACAUGUGGUUUAAUUCGAUGAUACGCGAGGAACCUUACCCGGGCUUAAAUUGCAGUGGAAUGAUGUGGAAACAUGUCAGUGAGCAAUCACCGCUGUGAAGGUGCUGCAUGGUUGUCGUCAGCUCGUGCCGUGAGGUGUCGGCUUAAGUGCCAUAACGAGCGCAACCCUUAUCUUCAGUUACUAACAGGUCAUGCUGAGGACUCUGGAGAGACUGCCGUCGUAAGAUGUGAGGAAGGUGGGGAUGACGUCAAAUCAGCACGGCCCUUACGUCCGGGGCUACACACGUGUUACAAUGGGGGGUACAGAAGGCAGCUAGCGGGUGACCGUAUGCUAAUCCCAAAAUCCUCUCUCAGUUCGGAUCGAAGUCUGCAACCCGACUUCGUGAAGCUGGAUUCGCUAGUAAUCGCGCAUCAGCCACGGCGCGGUGAAUACGUUCCCGGGCCUUGUACACACCGCCCGUCAAGCCAUGGGAGCCGGGGGUACCUGAAGUACGUAACCGCAAGGAUCGUCCUAGGGUAAAACUGGUGACUGGGGCU